CUGGCACAUCCUAGAGGAGCCCUUCCGCAGCCUCUCAUUCCUUCUGGAGAUGCCCCCUGCCUUCUCACUUCUGUCAUCAUCUAAUGUGUUUGUGUCCCUUGGUAGUGUCACAGCAAUCAGGACACUGGGGAGGCAGAGAAACUUUGCAACACUGCAUACAUUUUUGAAUUCUCCAGUUGCAUUUAUAGACAAGCAGAAUAAAAAUUUCUCAUAGCGUCUAACUCAGAACACCUUCUAUUACUCAAAAAGUAGUUUAUCUGGGUACAUGUGGACCUAAAUCAACUUGCAGUCUGAGAUUUCUGUCUGGGGUCUCACUCUUCUAAGUGUAGAUAGAGGUCAAAUCAUUCCUUCCUAUUUGCAUGGAUUAACUGCUGGGAACAAAACCAGGAACAAGAGAACAAGCGAGAUUGACUGGAGGACAGACAGGUAAGCUAUUGGAAGAAAAGCGGUUGUGCUGCUGAAAUUCCGAUCUGCAGGUAUUGCAAAACAUUGGCUUAGGCUGGAAUCACUAUGCUGUGUCUCUUUAAAACCCUCGAACCCUAAGGAUAAGGCUGAUGUCACUCAAAAUUCACUAGCCAAUCAGCACCUCGAGAGGGAGUUAGCAGUCAGCUGAGGAGGUGGCUCUUCCAGGUACAAGGUCAGCAACUUCCUUUGGGAACUCAGCCCCUCUGAGUGCUUUCUGGUGGUACAUGCUGAGUCACUCUUCAGGGUGCUGUGAGAGGAGGUCAGAACGCCCGACAUGGAUGUCCUGACCUAUCAUGAUGUGCAUGUGAACUUCACUCAGGAAGAGUGGGCAUUGCUGAAUCCUUCUCAGAAGAGUCUCUACCAAUGUGUAAUGCUGGAGACCUGUAGGAAUCUCAGCACUCUAGGAUGUACUGACCUAUGAUGAUGUGCAUGUGAACUUCACUCAGGAAGAGUGGGCAUUGCUGAAUCCUUCUCAGAAGAGUCUCUAC
rnacentral:sRNA from 1 species